rnacentral:rRNA from 1 species
AUUGAACGCUGGCGGAAUGCUUUACACAUGCAAGUCGAACGGCAGCACGGACUUCGGUCUGGUGGCGAGUGGCGAACGGGUGAGUAAUAUAUCGGAACGUAUCCAAUAAUGGGGGAUAACUAGUCGAAAGAUUGGCUAAUACCACAUACGCCCUACGGGGGAAAGCAGGGGAUCUUCGGACCUUGCGUUAAUGGAGCGGCCGAUAUCUGAUUAGCUAGUUGGGGGGGUAAAGGCCCACCAAGGCGACGAUCAGUAGCUGGUCUGAGAGGACGACCAGCCACACUGGAACUGAGACACGGUCCAGACUCCUACGGGAGGCAGCAGUGGGGAAUUUUGGACAAUGGGCGCAAGCCUGAUCCAGCCAUUCCGCGUGAGUGAAGAAGGCCUUCGGGUUGUAAAGCUCUUUCGCAAGGGAAGAAAACUUAGCCACUAACAUUGGCUGAGGUUGACGGUACCUUGAUAAGAAGCACCGGCUAACUACGUGCCAGCCGCCGCCGUAACAC